UAGCCACAGACACGUAUCUUUCCUUCUCCUGGUGCUGUGGCCAACCAUUGCCAAUUCCUUGAGAGAAGGACUGCCUGCAGCCCUGCUUUGGGUUUAGACGGGCACUCCCAUUUACUUUUCGGUCCAGACAAUUUUUCAAGUUCCAGGCUGGGGAGAUUAUGAGCAAUGGUAAAGGAAAGAUUCUUUGGUUUACUGGUGCUCUGUGAAGCCACAGCACCCACGGAUUGCCCUGAGCUUCAUCCCAUUUAUGAAGUUCAAGAGGCAAGUGGUUAGCCAGGAUAUACUUGGUUUUAUGCCCUGCCUUGCAAGAAAGGCCUUUGCUGAAUUACAUUGGAAAGUUGUGUCUCAGUCUUAAAAUCAAGGCCCCCUCAUUGUGUUCUGCGGUCUCAUUCAUACGAGGGGUGUGUGCCUGCUGCAACACAGCCAGAGAGCAAAGGAGCAUGGCUGCUGGUUCCCUCCGCUGGUUCCCCCACGCCGGAGACCCCAUCAAAUAAUCUCACGGUCCCGCAUUUCCUCUGGCCUUACCGCCCUGCUGUGUCCAGAGGGAAAUGGAGAGGAUCAUCUUUCUGAGCUCUGACCCAUGGCUAACACAUGCCCAAAGCUGCUCUGCUGGGGCCUCCACAAGGAUAACAACUCCUUCUGCCUCUUCCUCAAGUCCUCUCCACUGGGCUUGAAGGACCCAUCUCAUGGGGACUGACAGAGGACAGUCACCUCAUAUCUGCCUUCUCUGCCCCAGAAAACAGAGCUCAAAGCUUCCUCCCUAUAACAAUAAAAGCUUUCAGGUAAAUCA